GACGAACGCUGGCGGCGUGCUUAACACAUGCAAGUCGAGCGGUAAGGCCCUUUCGGGGGUACACGAGCGGCGAACGGGUGAGUAACACGUGGGUGACCUGCCCUUAGCUCUGGGAUAAGCCUGGGAAACUGGGUCUAAUACCGGAUAUGACUCCAUGACGCAUGUUGUGGGGUGGAAAGCCUUGUGCGGCUAGGGAUGGGCCUGCGGCCUAUCAGCUUGUUGGUGGGGUGAUGGCCUACCAAGGCGACGACGGGUAGCCGGCCUGAGAGGGCGACCGGCCACACUGGGACUGAGACACGGCCCAGACUCCUACGGGAGGCAGCAGUGGGGAAUCUUGCGCAGUGGGCGAAAGCCUGACGCAGCGACGCCGCGUGGGGAUGACGGCCUC
rnacentral:rRNA from 1 species